UCCAGACUCCUACGGGAGGCAGCAGUGAGGAAUAUUGGUCAAUGGCCGUAAGGCUGAACCAGCCAAGUCGCGUGAAGGAAGAAGGAUCUAUGGUUUGUAAACUUCUUUUAUAGGGGAAUAAAGGUAUCCACGUGUGGAUAUUUGCAUGUACCCUAUGAAUAAGCAUCGGCUAACUCCGUGCCAGCAGCCGCGGUAAUACGGAGGAUGCGAGCGUUAUCCGGAUUUAUUGGGUUUAAAGGGUGCGCAGGCGGCUUGUUAAGUCAGCGGUAAAAGCCCGGGGCUCAACCCCGGCGAGCCGUUGAAACUGGCGGGCUGGAGUUGGAGAGAAGUACGCGGAAUGCGCGGUGUAGCGGUGAAAUGCUUAGAUAUCGCGCAGAACCCCGAUUGCGAAGGCAGCGUACCGGCUCCACACUGACGCUGAGGCACGAAAGCGUGGGUAUCGAACAGGAUUAGAUACCCUUGUAU
rnacentral:rRNA from 1 species